AGCUGAUGUACCUUACGUGGAAGAAUUUAGCAAUCAGAUUUCCCUUGGAGUGGAUAAGUACCUGGAAAUCAUUGAGCUCUAUGUGAUAACCUUUUUGGGGAGGAUUCUAGGAAAUUUGGAUCUUGCUAUCUCUUGGGUUGAGAAAUUCCCUCUACCUGAGGAGAAGAGGCAGGACCUUUUGAGGCAGUUGCACUCCAUGAAUACUUUAAAGCUGGUCAGCACUUCGCAGUCCUCAGCUUUACCGCUCCAAAUAGAUGAAUGCACAACUGAUUCCACUUCCCUGAUUGAAGAAAAAUCAUGCAAUGGAACAGCAAAUAUUUUGGAACACAGAGACCUGUCUAAGGGAGAGAACACCAAGAAACAAUCAAUUCUGGAGUUCCCUAGACGGAGAACUCCAUUGUGGUGGUUUCGUACAGUCACUUUGAAGUUCGGAAGUAGUCGCUUGGUCUUAUCAAAUGGAAGUAUCUCUCUUGGUUUUUUGGCGGCACUAUUUUA
rnacentral:misc_RNA from 1 species